rnacentral:rRNA from 1 species
AUUUUGGACAAUGGGCGCAAGCCUGAUCCAGUCAUUCCGCGUGCAGGAUGAAGGCCCUCGGGUUGUAAACUGCUUUUGUACGGAACGAAACGGCCUGGGUUAAUACCCUGGGCUAAUGACGGUACCGUAAGAAUAAGCACCGGCUAACUACGUGCCAGCAGCCGCGGUAAUACGUAGGGUGCGAGCGUUAAUCGGAAUUACUGGGCGUAAAGCGUGCGCAGGCGGUGAUGUAAGACAGAUGUGAAAUCCCCGGGCUCAACCUGGGAACUGCAUUUGUGACUGCAUCGCUGGAGUGCGGCAGAGGGGGAUGGAAUUCCGCGUGUAGCAGUGAAAUGCGUAGAUAUGCGGAGGAACACCGAUGGCGAAGGCAAUCCCCUGGGCCUGCACUGACGCUCAUGCACGAAAGCGUGGGGAGCAAACAGG